UACGAAGGGAGCUAGCGUUGUUCGGAAUCACUGGGCGUAAAGCGCACGUAGGCGGAUGUGUCAGUCGGGGGUGAAAUCCCGGAGCUCAACUUCGGAACUGCCUUUGAUACAGCACAUCUGGAGUCCGGAAGAGGUGGGUGGAAUUCCUAGUGUAGAGGUGAAAUUCGUAGAUAUUAGGAAGAACACCGGUGGCGAAGGCGGCCCACUGGCCCGGUACUGACGCUGAGGUGCGAAAGCGUGGGGAGCAAACAGG
rnacentral:rRNA from 1 species